UUGCAUGGUCUGCUAAAAAAGCACCCAAAAAAUGCAUCGUCGUCUUUGUGCAAGAAUUGGGUCUUGAAAAGCAGCUUGCAGCAAGUUGGUGGGAUAACUGGGAAGGCUGGGGCUGACGCUGGGAUGCAGUGUGGCUGUCUGCAUCUGCCUGAGCAGAGGGAUGAAAAUCAGAGACCCGGAGCAGGGAAACAGUGGAUUUUAGAGAGCUGAGCUUCAUCCUGGGUCUGCCCCUUGUGCGUCUCCACCGUGAGGACAUCUCUUCUUUGUAGAUGCCUGCUGCACUUCGGUCAUUCUCACUUCUGGGUCUGGAGUUUUGCAGGGGAACGGCAGCUAUCCUUCCCAGGACAGGAAUGGGUUUUGCCAAAUUUUAGGUUGUUGCAAGAGCCAGGUACAGCUGAACAGGCUCUCCACGGUCGUUUUAUGGCAUCUCCAGAGCACAACAUCUGGGCAGGUGUAGACACCCAGAGCUGAGCCUGUUUCCAACAGGUGUAUGAGGGCUCAGAGCCAAGCACCUACGUCAGGGACUGAGUUUUGGAGAGGAAUAUCUCAGGCUGCAUAAGUACAAGGUCUGUAGUGUAAUUAUCAGAAUGUAACCACAGCAGGGCUCAGGGCAGUGCUGGAAGACCUCUCCACCGCUGUGUUGUGCCUCCUGAAGUUGCCCUGGUGCCUUCCUUGGACAAGGAGGGGUGUCACCAGAGAAAAGCCCCCCCAUCGCUGUCUCCUAAGGAGCCGCCUCGGUCCAGCAAUUCGGCUUUUCCCCUGGGCUGAUGGGUUCCUAUAGCAACAGUGAGCCGCUUGCUGCAGCUUUUACCUUUAUAACAAUAAAAGAGCGCUCACAUUCAUUUUCUGAAAUCAGUGCCAGUCACCCUGCGCGCUGCAGUGCCGCUUGUGUCGUUGACAUGAUUAUACUAAUCAGCAGCCAGUACACUGGCUGAAACAAUUCAGAGGCUGAAGCAAUUACCCCCUGCCUGGGACACCGCAGCUGUAGGAGCCCAUGGAGGGGUAUCUGCGCAACUGCUGUAGGAUCACCCCAAGUUCAUUACUGCCAAAGAGAGCAAAGUGCUGCAGGACAGCCCCAUCCCUGCCACAGUAAAUGCCUGCGUCUUCCUUACCGGCCCCAAAAAGGCAGGUAUUAAAAUGCAGCAAAAGCAAUGUUUUGGUUGUGGGACUUUUUUGCUCCAUCCUUGGCUUGUAGGAGAGCCCCAGGUGGUGGUACUGAGCUUUGGGUGAUGUGGCUGUAGGUUUUUUGGGGCUGGCACAAGGAACCCCAUCUCUCAUUGCCAGCUUGGAGAACAAUGUAGAAUUAAGUAUGGUAAAUACCAGGUUUUUUUCUGAGAGAGGUCGUGCUGACCGUGAAGCAUAAUUAAGGAGCUUCCUGGCAUCUGCUACAGGAGCUGAAUGAGGGAUAAACUAGCUGAAUGAAAAGUAAACUGGGGUUUAAGAAAUCUUCAUUAAUUUGCUGCAGCAAGAGCUUGCUAUGCUUAAGGAAAUUAAAAUGUGAGCUCUCAAAAUCAGCUUGCAGCAAGCUAAGGAGGAGGAGAUACCGGGGGAAUAUGUAAUGAGAUGGAAAUGGGUACAUUCAUAAAUCAUCUGUGGCGCUUUCAAUAAUUCACCACUGCUAAAGGACCUGGCAGUUCACAGAGAGGUAACAUCCACGUGGAGAUGUUCUGUUUGCCUGAUCCAACAAGAUCCAGGGCAUCUCCACACUGCCCUUUCUGUGUUGCACAGGGAAAGUGGGAUUCAGCUAGUCUGAGCUGAGCGAUAACACAAGUGCUAAUGUCUGAGGCUGGGCACGGACCACGUGCCCGCUGGAAAUUGCCACCUGCCGAGUUGCCAGUGGUGAUUUUGGUUUCAGCCCUUCAGAGUGUUUAUCAUCACAGACUCUUAGCUUUGAGUUAAACAAAAUUAUUUGUUUGAGUUAGGCAAAAUAAUUAUCCCAGUUCUUUGGGAAUCAGUCUUUUAAGCACUGGCAGAGACACCAGGGGUGGUGGGAAGCAUGGGCUGGGGAAGUCCACUUUGCAAGGCAGUAGAAGUUGUUCAAGGAAUAGGCUAUUCUAGGUAUUAUUUCCUAGGUUAUAAAACCAAGGUGGGUAUUUGGAUGCUGUGAUGCUGGGUGGGUGUUUUUCCUGCAAAUGAUAGAUUGAGUGUCAAAGAUGAUUAUCCAAAAGCCCCAUGCGGGCCCUGCCAAGGGCUGAGCCUCCAGGGCUGUGAUGGUGCCCAAGGCGGUUCCCAAGCCCUAAAUUCACCAAGUGAAAUAACAAGGAAAAAGAAGGUGGUGCGUAAAAUGGCUUGAUGUUACAUGGCUGCUCUGUGUUACCUUUUUUUGCAUGUCACGGUUUUUGUUCUCCUUAAGGUGUAAGAGGUGUUGAGUGCAUUUUACACGAGCUGCUUUCUUAACAUUGGUACAGCAAGUCUGUCUCUGUAGCAUCAGUUCUCUCCUCCUGCCAUCUGACUCGCUGCUGUCAGAAAAAGCAAUAGCUCAUCUUUGUCAGCUCUUUAACCCCACUUCUUUAAAAAAAAAAAAGAAUAUCAAUGGUGUGUUGGCCACUGCUGGCGCUGCCGCGUCCUUUGCGAGAGGUGGGGGAAGAGGAUGGGAGCUGAAAGGAUGUGGAGGUGAGCAGAGGGUCUUGUGGAAGUAGCAAGAAAAGCAAUUGCAGUUUUAAUGAGGCUGGGGAAAAGUCUUUGCUUUGAGCUGACUCUUCUUCUGGAGAGCGAUUUUCUUUUCAUUGCUCCUGAAGCUACAGUUUGUUCGAACGCAGCUUUUAAUGAUUCAUGAAGCAGCAGCGAGGAGGAGUUCUGUGUGGGAUGGUGGGAGGCUGACCUCGGGCACUGGAUAAACAACAUUAAUGGUUGGUAGAAAACAAGCCGUUUGACUGAAAGGGCUGAGCUCUCUCCGGAGAACAGGCUGCCCUUCCCCGGAGCGUGGCUGGCUGGGAGAGACCCUGUGCCUUCAGGAGAGGGAUGCCCAAGGACCUGGGAGGACUCCAAGAGCACUUUGCACUGUGUGAGUGCCACGAAACACAACUUUGCUCUAACUCCCCUUUUUGUGGGAUUGUCAAGACCGUAGUUAUGAGCUGUCAUUGACCGGUUUGGUGAUAUUGCACCAGCAGGUCAGUGUUGUGGGGUGCAGUUAAGGCUGUUGUCAUGCAUUUAGUGCGGCAACUUCAGUGAGUUAAGCUGAAUGUUUAGGAUUUGUGUACUUGGGAAAGCCAAACAGCUUGUGGUGGAUUCGAUGUGCUGUAUGUACGUAUACUGCUUAUAUAAACUAUCAUUAAUUUUGUUUCUUUUUCCAGGAAAAUGUCCUGGUUUCAGCUGGGAUAGAGUUAAUUUUCUUUUUAGUAGCUGGUGUAGUGCUGGGGUUUGGAUCUGGUGUAAGAGCAAUGCUGACAGCACACUGAUGGGUUUGGGUUUUGCUGAGUAAUGUUUAUACUAAGUCAAGGACUUUUCGGUUUCUGGGGUCCUGCUGGCAAGAGGGCUGAGGGGGCACGGGGAGCUGGGGGGGACACAGCCAGGGCAGCUGGCCCAAACCAGCCAGAGAGGUAUUCCAUACCGUGGGGCGUCAUGCUGGGUAUAGAAACUGGGGGAAGAAGAAGGAAGGUGGGGGACAUUCAGCCUGGUGGUGUUUGUCUCCCCCCAUCCCCGUCACACGUGCUGGAGCCCAGCUGCCCUGGGGAUGGCUGAGCACCUGUCUGCCCGUGGGAAGCUGUGAAGGAAUUCCUUGCUUUGCUGUGCUUGUGUGUGGCUUCUGCUUUGCCUGUUGAACUGUCCUUACCUAAUCCACGAGUUUUCUCACUUUUACUCUUCUGAUUCCCUCCCCCAUUCUGAGGUGAGGGGAGCGAGCGAGCGGCUGCCCGGGGCUGAGUUGCCAGUGGGGGUUAAACCCUGACACCUGGGAAAUGCUUCUUGCAGUAGGGCUUCACCAAGCCAAACUCUUCUUCCUUCAGUGGCUUCAUGCUGCAGAGCCCUGUGCACCACCUCUCCCAGCUCCAGCCAAGCAGCUGUGCCUCCGCAGGAAGAUAAACGAGUUUUCAGCAUGAGGUGAAGAUAAUCCUGUUCCUUGCCAGUUCGUGAUGGAGAUGGGAUGCGCUGAUUAUGAACCACCCCAGAUGGGGAGAAAUGACUCCAAGAAGCAAGUGCCAGCGGCCAAGGGGCGAAUGUCCUGGAUGGCAUGGCUGGUGGAGCGGAGGCAGGACCUGAGGCUGUGACCUCCCGAGGUCAGAAGUAAGAUGUGCAAGGCUACAGAUUCAUUUCUGGCAGAGCAAAAUGACACAUUCAAGCCUAAACAAUGAGGGAACAGCCCUUAUGGUCCAGUGAAACCCCAGCGAGAAGUCAUCACCUCUGUGAUGGACACUUUCCUGGACCUCUCCCACCUGUGGGCUCCUCAAGGCUCUCCGUGGCCUUGCUGCUAUCCUGAAGGGGAUACUAUCCCAAAAUCAUUGUGUGGAGGACUGAUGAGGUCCUGUCAAAGCAGUCUGUGCCUCCCCAAAAAGCAGAAGGUGGGGGCAUCGCUGAACCUGCUGACUGUAUUGGGGAACACCAAGUUGCUGGGACCAGACCGCUACUAACUAAGGUCAACUACACGCAUCCUCAACCAUCCAGCAUGCGUAGGUGAUUCAUCGUUAGAAAGAAGACAUUACUCCUUAUUUCCGCAGAAGUUGCUCAUCUCGGCUAUUCCCAGGGACUCCAGGAGUGAGCAAACCUCAGGCAGCCUGCUGCACCGUGCUAAUCUGAGUGAUGAUUUGUGUCAGGACAGAACAGGGUCAGCUCGUGUCUGUGAUGGGGCUGUUGUGGAAGCUCUUUGCUUCUAUUGUGUGACCGUCUUGCAGCAAUUCCUAUCUCUGUAAUAACAUAAUGGAGCAGGGAUGUUUUUUUUUUAUUUCUCUGCAAUCAGUGUAACAGAAGCAAAAGCGGUGGGGCACCUCGUUAGCCCUCCCAUCUCUUCCCCAUCAUUAACUGCUUUCUUUUCAUUCAAGCUGAAUAUUGUCUCCAAGAGGUUUUGGCCACCAGAUUUUUCCAUUGACCUCUGCUGAGCCCCAGGUACUUUGGCACUACUGGGAAAUGUACAGCAUUCACUUCUGGGCUGGGCUGGGGCUUUGGGCUUCAGCCCAAGCUGAAGAGAUGGGGCAGAAGGCGGAAUUGUGUUUGUCUGCACAUGGAUGGCUCUUCACCAGCACCAGCCACCAAGGACCCUGCUAGGGCAACUUCAUCACUCAAAAAUGUGCACGCCCUGCUUCAGCUGACCAAUCAAUUUGCUUUUUUGGCAUCCAGGGGAGCAUCGCAGCUCUGCUCUGCACCUUUUGGCACAGCUGGCCAUGUGUCGCACUACCAUAAUGGACAACGGACCAAGGCAAAUAGCAUUUCCACCAGCAAGAUCAUCACCAAAGGGCAUGAUGUUAAAAGAACUGUUUAAAUCUGCUGCUUGGCGUAUAGCUGUGGAAGCCUGGCUGCUGCCCUGGACCUCAGCCAGUGGUUGAAUCCAUCACACUCAUGGGGGACACGACCGUGUGAGGAUGGGCUAUCACCCCUCUGGGGACACCGUGGAUGCGGGGAUGAGCUUCGCAUUGCAACUGCCACCUGUGAUCCCGCGGGCCACGAUGCCUUCGUUAACCCCCUGGAUCUCAAAGGAGACCAUGAGCAGACCAGGUUUGGUCCAUAGACCUGCACACGGCUAAAGCAGCAUCGUUCCCAGCUCCUUGCUCCCACAAACCCCACUCCAUACAAAAUCCCCCUUCCUCCAGGGAUUUUGCAGGGCUUUCCCCACCACACUCGGAACUGCAUCUUCUGUUGUUGCUGCGCCUGUCCCUUCUUGUGUUUCUUUUGUUUUGUGUUCAUGGAAAAAAUAAUGGAACCACGGGGGCCAGCAGCAGCCCCAGCCUGUCCCAGCUGCAUCUCUGCUUCUUUCCAGCUAGGUAAUGGUUGAAGAGUAAUAAUAGUUAAAUAAGGGCUGACGCU